rnacentral:rRNA from 1 species
GUAGGUGGCAAGCGUUGCCCGGAAUUAUUGGGCGUAAAGCGCGCGCAGGCGGUUCUUUAAGUCUGAUGUGAAAGCCCACGGCUCAACCGUGGAGGGUCAUUGGAAACUGGAGAACUUGAGUACAGAAGAGGAAAGCGGAAUUCCACGUGUAGCGGUGAAAUGCGUAGAGAUGUGGAGGAACACCAGUGGCGAAGGCGGCUUUCUGGUCUGUAACUGACGCUGAGGCGCGAAAGCGUGGGGAGCAAACAGGAUUAGAUACCCUGGUAGUCCACGCCGUAAACGAUGAGUGCUAAGUGUUAGGGGGGUUUUCCGCCCCCCUUAGUGCUGCAGCUAACGCAUUAAGCACUCCGCCUGGGAGUACGGCCGCAAGGCUG